AUUGAACAGGAUGGAAAUUAAGGUAAAUUAAGACUUCAGGUGAAAACUUGUCUUUGUCAUAGAGACUCGACCAUUAGACUGCAAAGCAUAAAGGGUUUACCACCGAGAGAGGUCAGAAAAGCUACGCGAGGCUCCCAUAUUCUGGCGGUUCUUUUAGCACUAGCGUUCCUCAGCCACAGUAGUUUGGACCAUUCAGAAUCCUAUGAGGAACUAAUGGUAGAAAACAGACAAGCAUUGUUGAUGUUAGCCCAUGAUAAACUGUGAUAGACAAAUAGUUCAUCACCGGCCAAGUCUUUUUUUAUAGUGCAUGCCCUUUUCCAAAACCACUUGAUGGCGUUGACAAACUGAAAAAAGAUAGAGACACUGCCAACCCAAAUCUAAUCAUUUUGUCUCCUACGAUAACAAAACAAUGUAAUUGUUGGAUUUAGCCAUCAGUGCAGUGCACCGACAAGUCAUCCGACUUGCCCUGUGUGUGGGGCGAGCUGUACACUGGACCUGUAACAGGAAAUUCAGGGAGUUCUGUCAGACCAUUCAAUGGCGCCGUAACAUCUGGGUCUCUCGAGCACACCGCAAGAGCAGUAGGAAAGGAGGACAUUACUGACAUGGAAGUUGACUCUGGUGUCCAUGGAGCAGGAAGAGAGGAGGGUGAUACUGAGAUGGAAGUCGAUUCUGAGCCGAAUUUCAAAGAAGAUGAUCUUAUUAGAUUGUUCACACAGUUGAAGAUAUAAAAAAUAAAUGGUCCGAUACAGCCUG